UGUUGUUUACUUGUGCACACUGAUAUGAUAAAGGCAAUUUUGUUUUCUUUUGUUUUUUUAGCCAGUUAGCCAAAAAGCCAACCCUAAAAUAAUUGCAUCCCUUGUUUGAAACCCCCUUGAGUCUAUUAUCCUUUUUUUAUUUAAAACUCAUUACAAGCCGAGAAGUGAAAAACAAUGUUAUCACCCUAUUCAAAGGGUUGAAAG
rnacentral:lncRNA from 1 species